rnacentral:lncRNA from 1 species
CCAAAUAAAGGCCAAGAAUAGCAUGCUAAAAAGAGUGGUUGUUGAGGACGAUCUUUCCCAAAUGAUAGCAUUUUCUUAAUAAUGUUGUACACAUGUAAUUGCAUAUAUUUCACCCUGCGCCACAUAUUUUGGUGGCUGGCCUUGUUUUUUUUUAGAGGGGUGGUUAGCCUUGUUAUUUGAGUUAAUUGCAUAAAUAUUCAAGAUCUUAUUUGACAUGGAUAAUAGCAACAUUUAUUUCUUCUAUUUGCAAUUGCCUCGAAUAUAUUAGCUGAAUACCUUCUAUUUCAUUUUGUAAGGUCAUAUUUAUAUUAGCAAAUUAGGUGAGAUAUCUAAAAAAAUAGUUACACAUUUUACAUGACACAAAAACUAGUUACACUUAUAAAUGUGACAAAAAUAG